rnacentral:tRNA from 1 species
GAGACAUAGCUCAGCUGGUUAGAGCGCUGCAUUCACAUUGCAGAGGCCGUGGGUUCGAGUCCCUCUGUCUC